CUUUGCUCCAAGCGCCCUGGGUGGGUAGAGGCCAGGUCCAGUAUGAGGAGCCCUGGUUCCCUGAGGUAGAUGGAGCCAGGCAGAAGUUGAGUAGACAUGGGGGCUGCAGCCCUGGCCCCACUGCCCGACUCUCUCUCUGCAUUUCAGGAGCUGGCAAGAUCCAAGGGGGUCCCCAAGGCCCUGAGGCUGCACUGAGCACCCCUUUCCUGCCCAUUUUCGGAUGCAGCGGUGUCCUGGACCCCUGGGGAGAGGUGACCCCCCCCCCCAGCAGGAAGCUGGGCCUGGUUUCUGUCCCUCUGCAGCCACAAGGCCUGGCCAGGAUGCUGGGAGCACCACACCCUGGAGACUCAGCUCACCAAGGACUCAGGGGCGGGGGAUCCCCUGGCACCUGGGAAGCUGGGCCCCCGGCCCCCUGGACUCCCACCCAGACACCAUCUCAACCCAGGCACUUCCCCCGGGCCAGAGGGCAGCCUGGCAGCCCUGGACUCUGGGAGGGCCGAGUCUGGGGAGCUGGAGGACGUCACAUUCCACUCUUGAUGAUGCCGCCCCAGUCCUACAAUCUGGACAGCAGGAGAAGCUGCCCAUUUCCUCCAUCUCCGGUCCCUGGAGGUUCCCCGGAUCCUUUCAGGGGAGACCAUGGGCCCUAAACGAUCUUCAUAACAAAACUGAGAAGUGGCCUGGCUUCUUCACUGUGCACCUGUGUGCUGGGAUCCAGCGUGGUCUGACUGGGCAGCUCCUUUCCUUCCCUGACGCUGCUCCAGGAGAAAGAAGGACCAGGGUCAAUCCGGGGUGCCCCAGGUGGAUCAGCGAAUGCCCCUGAAGCCAGGUGCCAGUUGCAUCCCCGUCCGAUGCCCCCACCCCAGUCUCCUGAGCCUCAUUAGUCACCCCUCAUUUUCCUCUGGGGACCCCAGGCCCCAGCUCCUGUCUGGUUAGAGGCUGAAGGGGUCUGAGCGACACCUACCCUAGGGGACCUCCGGAGGGGUCUUGGUGUCCUCUGACUUCUAUCCUCAGAAGGGAGCUCAGAAUGCAGCUGAGGCUUCCCCUGGGGCCCAGGGUGUCUGUGUCCGAGCCACAGCCAGAGUGUGCCCUGGAGAGCCGCUGGGAUGCACGGUGGGCUCUCGUCAUCCUGUCCCCACUCCAGGCUUAGGCUGGAGCCGUGAUGGCACCGCUGCACUCCAACCUGGGCAACAGAGUGAGACCCUGUCUCUAUAAAAUAAAAACAAAAAUAAAGAAGAGCAUGUGGUUUCUGCAGUUUCCUGGCCAAAAAUGCAUAACUCCAAUCUCAAUCAUAAGAACACAUCCAACGUCCUCAACAAGGGGAGGUUCUACACACACCUGCCCAGCGCCCCUCAAAAGUGUCAAGGCGUGAAAGACAUGGAGGCAUGUAGAAGACGGGAGAGCCAGUGUGGCCUGCGGUAUGUUCAUGACGGUCACAGGUCAGCGCCCACGGUCACUCAGCAGCCAUUCCAGGCAGGCCCCAGGGGCCCAAGAGGAAGGUGGGAUGUGGUGGGAUGGGGGCUCUGCACGGCCCUGCAGCACAAGUGCCCUGCCGACUCCAGGGGCAGCUAUCUGGCCCCCUCAUGGUGCCAUUCCCCAGGGACGGGUCCUUGCCUGCCUCGCCGGCCCUCCACAGACAGGACAGGGACAGGUCGUCAGCUGUCACGGAGGCCCUCGCAGUUUUCUGAAUGUGGACUUGCUGUUCCUGCCCAUGGCGUCGUCCACGGACUCGACAGCACCCCACUGUCCAUCACACCCCCACUGAUGCUGCUUCCCACAGCAGGACUCAUCCCAUGCUCAGGCAGUGCUCCCAGGAGCAGUGGGUUAAUAGGGCGUGGGACGGCCCCCUGAAGACCAGUUAUGGUGCCGGCCAGGAGGCCCUCUGAAAGGACGGGCGCAACCCCGCAGAACAGACCAGGUGCUCACCAUCCAUGUCUGGUGCCGCUUCUCUGUGGCGAUGGUAUCCAGGAAUCAUGGGUGGGAGUCACGGCCACCGUCCCUGUCGCACCAGCCCGCCUGCUCACACAGCCACCGUUCACUCUAGCUUGAAGGUCCUGCUUCCUCAGGGAGGAGCACUCCCUCCAGGGUCGAGGUGCUGGCCGUGUGGAGUUCGACGUCGGGACUGUCCCCAGGGGCCUCUCUUCCCACUGAAUCGACAGAGAGAAUGUGAGCUCGCUGUCCGGCGGGCGGGGCCGGGGAUCCUGUCCGCCGAGGGGACACCGGAUCGCUGCAGAGAGAGGACUAGACCCAGAGUCCAGCCAAGACCAGAACUGAGACCGGGCGACCAGCAGAGCCUGCACAAUAAUAAUGCUUCGUUUUGCAAAUGUAUUUUGUUCUUUUAUUGUAUAUAUUUAUCAUGUCCAAUGUGAUGUUUUUAAACGUGUUUACAUUGUGGUUAAAUCAAGUGGCAUAACACACAUGACUUCACA
rnacentral:lncRNA from 1 species